rnacentral:rRNA from 1 species
AAUGGGCGCAAGCCUGAUGCAGCAACGCCGCGUGAGGGAUGACGGCCUUCGGGUUGUAAACCUCUUUCAGUAGGGAAGAAGCGAAAGUGACGGUACCUACAGAAGAAGCACCGGCUAACUACGUGCCAGCAGCCGCGGUAAUACGUAGGGUGCGAGCGUUGUCCGGAAUUAUUGGGCGUAAAGAGCUUGUAGGCGGUUUGUCGCGUCUGCUGUGAAAAUCCGGGGCUCAACCCCGGACUUGCAGUGGGUACGGGCAGACUAGAGUGUGGUAGGGGAGACUGGAAUUCCUGGUGUAGCGGUGAAAUGCGCAGAUAUCAGGAGGAACACCGAUGGCGAAGGCAGGUCUCUGGGCCACUACUGACGCUGAGAAGCGAAAGCGUGGGGAGCGAA